rnacentral:rRNA from 1 species
GACGAACGCUGGCGGCGUGCUUAACACAUGCAAGUCGAACGGUGAAGGGACUGGUUUUGCUGGUCCUGGAUGAGUGGCGAACGGGUGAGUAACACGUGAGUAACCUGCCCCCUUCUUCUGGAUAACCGCAUGAAAGUGUGGCUAAUACGGGAUAUUCUGGGUCUGUCGCAUGGUGGGCCUGGGAAAGAUUGCGCCUUUUUUGGUGUUUUUGGUGGGGGAUGGGCUCGCGGCCUAUCAGCUUGUUGGUGGGGUGAUGGCCUACCAAGGCGGUGACGGGUAGCCGGCCUGAGAGGGUGGACGGUCACACUGGGACUGAGACACGGCCCAGACUCCUACGGGAGGCAGCAGUGGGGAAUAUUGCACAAUGGGCGCAGGCCUGAUGCAGCGACGCCGCGUGAGGGAUGGAGGCCUUCGGGUUGUGAACCUCUUUCGCCAGUGAAGCAGGCCUGCCUCUUUUUGUGGGUGGGUUGACGGUAGCUGGAUAAGAAGCGCCGGCUAACUACGUG